rnacentral:rRNA from 1 species
UGCUUUUGUAGCAAUACGAGAGUAUCCUAGUGGCGAACGGGUGAGUAACGCGUUGGUGACCUACCCCAAAGUGUGGGAUAACAGUCCGAAAGGAUUGCUAAUACCGCAUGUGGUUAUUGGAUUUGGAAACUGAUAACUAAAGGAGCAAUUCGCUUUGGGAGGGACCUGCGUCCCAUCAGCUAGUUGGUGAGGUAAUGGCUCACCAAGGCUACGACGGGUAGGGGACCUGAGAGGGUGACCCCCCACAAUGGAACUGAAACACGGUCCAUACACCUACGGGUGGCAGCAGUAGGGAAUAUUGCACAAUGGGCGAAAGCCUGAUGCAGCAACGCCGCGUGUGCGAUGAAGGCCUUCGGG